AACAGGAUUAGAUACCCUGGUAGUCCACCCCGUAAACGUUGGGAACUAGUUGUGGGGACCAUUCCACGGUUUCCGUGACGCAGCUAACGCAUUAAAUUCCCCGCCUGGGGAGUACGGCCGCAAGGCUAAAACUCAAAGGAAUUGACGGGGACCCGCACAAGCGGCGGAGCAUGCGGAUUAAUUCGAUGCAACGCGAAGAACCUUACCAAGGCUUGACAUACACCAGAACACCGUAGAAAUACGGGACUCUUUGGACACUGAUGAACAGGUGGUGCAUGGUUGUCGUCAGCUCGUGUCGUGAGAUGUUGGGUUAAGUCCCGCAACGAGCGCAACCCUCGUUCUAUGUUGCCAGCGCGUAAUGGUGGGAACUCAUGGGAUACUGCCGGGGUCAACUCGGAGGAAGGUGGGGAUGACGUCAAAUCAUCAUGCCCCUUAUGUCUUGGGCUUCACGCAUGCUACAAUGGCCGGUACAAAGGGCUGCAAUACCGUGAGGUGGAGCGAAUCCCAAAAAGCCGGUCCCAGUUCGGAUUGAGGUCUGCAACUCGACCUCAUGAAGUCGGAGUCGCUAGUAAUCGCAGAUCAGCAACGCUGCAGUGAAUACGUUCCCGGGUCUUGUACACACCGCCCGUCAAGUCAUGAAAGUCGGUAACACCUGAAGCCGGUGGCCCAACCCUUGUGGAGGGAGCCGUCGAAGGUGGGAUCGGUAAUUAGGACUAAGUCGUAACAAGGUAACC
rnacentral:rRNA from 1 species